rnacentral:rRNA from 1 species
CCUGUCCAACGUUAAUCGGGGCAGGGUGAGUCGACCCCUAAGGCGAGGCCGAAAGGCGUAGUCGAUGGGAAACAGGUUAAUAUUCCUGUACUUGGUGUUACUGCGAAGGGGGGACGGAGAAGGCUAUGUUGGCCGGGCGACGGUUGUCCCGGUUUAAGCGUGUAGGCUGGUUUUCCAGGCAAAUCCGGAAAAUCAAGGCUGAGGCGUGAUGACGAGGCACUACGGUGCUGAAGCAACAAAUGCCCUGCUUCCAGGAAAAGCCUCUAAGCAUCAGGUAACAUCAAAUCGUACCCCAAACCGACACAGGUGGUCAGGUAGAGAAUACCAAGGCGCUUGAGAGAACUCGGGUGAAGGAACUAGGCAAAAUGGUGCCGUAACUUCGGGAGAAGGCACGCUGAUAUGUAGGUGAAGUGAUUUACUCAUGGAGCUGAAAUCAGUCGAAGAUACCAGCUGGCUGCAACUGUUUAUUAAAAACACAGCACUGUGCAAACACGAAAGUGGACGUAUACGGUGUGACGCCUGCCCGGUGCCGGAAGGUUAAUUGAUGGGGUUAGCGCAAGCGAAGCUCUUGAUCGAAGCCCCGGUAAACGGCGGCCGUAACUAUAACGGUCCUAAGGUAGCGAAAUUCCUUGUCGGGUAAGUUCCGACCUGCACGAAUGGCGUAAUGAUGGCCAGGCUGUCUCCACCCGAGACUCAGUGAAAUUGAACUCGCUGUGAAGAUGCAGUGUACCCGCGGCAAGACGGAAAGACCCCGUGAACCUUUACUAUAGCUUGACACUGAACAUUGAGCCUUGAUGUGUAGGAUAGGUGGGAGGCUUUGAAGUGUGGACGCCAGUCUGCAUGGAGCCGACCUUGAAAUACCACCCUUUAAUGUUUGAUGUUCUAACGUGGACCCGUAAUCCGGGUUGCGGACAGUGUCUGGUGGGUAGUUUGACUGGGGCGGUCUCCUCCUAAAGAGUAACGGAGGAGCACGAAGGUUGGCUAAUCCUGGUCGGACAUCAGGAGGUUAGUGCAAUGGCAUAAGCCAGCUUGACUGCGAGCGUGACGGCGCGAGCAGGUGCGAAAGCAGGUCAUAGUGAUCCGGUGGUUCUGAAUGGAAGGGCCAUCGCUCAACGGAUAAAAGGUACUCCGGGGAUAACAGGCUGAUACCGCCCAAGAGUUCAUAUCGACGGCGGUGUUUGGCACCUCGAUGUCGGCUCAUCACAUCCUGGGGCUGAAGUAGGUCCCAAGGGUAUGGCUGUUCGCCAUUUAAAGUGGUACGCGAGCUGGGUUUAGAACGUCGUGAGACAGUUCGGUCCCUAUCUGCCGUGGGCGCUGGAGAACUGAGGGGGGCUGCUCCUAGUACGAGAGGACCGGAGUGGACGCAUCACUGGUGUUCGGGUUGUCAUGCCAAUGGCACUGCCCGGUAGCUAAAUGCGGAAGAGAUAAGUGCUGAAAGCAUCUAAGCACGAAACUUGCC